CCUCGUCGCAAGACCGUCCCAUUGGUGACGAGG
rnacentral:rRNA from 1 species